GACGAACGCUGGCGGCGUGCCUAAUACAUGCAAGUUGAGCGCUGAAGGUUGGUACUUGUACCGACUGGAUGAGCAGCGAACGGGUGAGUAACGCGUGGGGAAUCUGCCUUUGAGCGGGGGACAACAUUUGGAAACGAAUGCUAAUACCGCAUAAAAACUUUAAACACAAGUUUUAAGUUUGAAAGAUGCAAUUGCAUCACUCAAAGAUGAUCCCGCGUUGUAUUAGCUGGUUGGUGAGGUAAAGGCUCACCAAGGCGAUGAUACAUAGCCGACCUGAGAGGGUGAUCGGCCACAUUGGGACUGAGACACGGCCCAAACUCCUACGGGAGGCAGCAGUAGGGAAUCUUCGGCAAUGGACGAAAGUCUGACCGAGCAACGCCGCGUGAGUGAAGAAGGUUUUCGGAUCGUAAAACUCUGUUGGUAGAGAAGAACGUUGGUGAGAGUGGAAAGCUCAUCAAGUGACGGUAACUACCCAGAAAGGGACGGCUAACUACGUG
rnacentral:rRNA from 1 species